GACGAACGCUGGCGGCGUGCCUAAUACAUGCAAGUAGAACGCUGAAGGAGGAGCUUGCUUCUCUGGAUGAGUUGCGAACGGGUGAGUAACGCGUAGGUAACCUGCCUGGUAGCGGGGGAUAACUAUUGGAAACGAUAGCUAAUACCGCAUAAGAGUAGAUGUUGCAUGACAUUUACUUAAAAGGUGCAAUUGCAUCACUACCAGAUGGACCUGCGUUGUACUAGCUAGUUGGUGAGGUAACGGCUCACCAAGGCAACGAUACAUAGCCGACCUGAGAGGGUGAUCGGCCACACUGGGACUGAGACACGGCCCAGACUCCUACGGGAGGCAGCAGUAGGGAAUCUUCGGCAAUGGACGGAAGUCUGACCGAGCAACGCCGCGUGAGUGAAGAAGGUUUUCGGAUCGUAAAGCUCUGUUGUAAGAGAAGAACGAGUGUGAGAGUGGAAAGUUCACACUGUGACGGUAUCUUACCAGAAAGGGACGGCUAACUACGUG
rnacentral:rRNA from 1 species